UUUUCACACCAAAAACAAACACCCUAAGAACAAUAGCGUUCCCCACCCCUCACCUUUCUCGUUGUCUUCCUCUUGUUCUAUUACUGCUGCGACGGAGACUGUUAGUGGCACCUUCCAAAAAAGGAGAAAGGGAAUUCUCUCGUUCACUUUGAGAGCUCCAACCCUAUCUCCUAAAUUGAGGGCAGCCGGUUUCCACUCCUCUGGAUCUGAUUUGCGAAAAUCAUCACUCAUCCCCUCCAAAUCUCCCUCACCUCACACCACAAUCAGAAAGACACACACGCACAAUAAGGGGAAGAGGAAAGUAAACAUGUAACAAUAGAGAGAGAGGGAGACAGAUGGAAUGAAAAGAAAAAAGAGAAAGGGGUCACCGUCUUCUCCUUCUUCUUUGAGCAAAAACAACCCACGUUCCUCACAAAACAAACAGUAUUUUUGAUCGGAGUCGAAUCGAAUUUUCCGACGAGUUUUUUCCGGUGAAUCUCGAGGUUCCGACAUGGUUUUUUGUUAAUGGGUCUGUUCGUUUUCAACUACAGUUUCGCCUUCUUCUUGUAAAUCAGUUGGAAGAUUUUAAUAUAUUGAAAGGUUUAAGAGGAAACUGAUGGCAUGAAUCACAAAUUGAAGGAUUCAAAACUGAGGAAACUAAGAUUACUAGCUGAAGUUCGUUUUCUCAUACAGGUGUGGAUCUACUUACCGGAGUUCGAGCAUGACAGAUACCCCGCGACCAUCCAGUUAGGACCGCUGCAUUCAGGAGAUGCUUAAGGAGAUUUUUUUUAUGUUUUGAGUCUUCCUUCCUUUUUGUGUUGUCUUUUACUUUCUAGUCCUUUCUAAUAGUACUGAGUCUUUUAGGUGAUGUCAGAAUCUAUCAUAGUCUAGCUGAGUUUGUUGAGUCUUUUGUUAUCGUAUAUUUGAUUCUGUAUCCGAAAAAAGGAGAGUUGUAAAUGAAAAAUCUAAAAAGAUUUUUGUUUCUUAGUUUA